rnacentral:rRNA from 1 species
UACGAAGGGGGCUAGCGUUGCUCGGAAUCACUGGGCGUAAAGGGUGCGUAGGCGGGUCUUUAAGUCAGGGGUGAAAUCCUGGAGCUCAACUCCAGAACUGCCUUUGAUACUGAGGAUCUUGAGUAUGGGAGAGGUGGGUGGAACUGCGAGUGUAGAGGUGAAAUUCGUAGAUAUUCGCAAGAACACCCGUGGCUAAGGCGGCUCUCUAGUACGGUACUGACGCUGAGACGCGAAAGCGUGGGGAGCGAACAGG